ensembl:lncRNA
UGCAUCAUUGAAGAAAGCUAUUGGAAUAAAUCAUUCUGUCCCUUGCCUGCACUGGAGAAUGUGGAAAAAGCUUUGUACAGGUUUUGAGAGGCCCAUCUGUGCAGGGACUUCAUUGGUCCUCAUUUGCCUGCUAUCAUAUUGUAGUCUGCACCAGACCUCAGACCUGCAAUACUGCAAGAAAUAGAAGUACAGUGAUUGUCUCCACUUACAGUCAGUGGCUAUCAAUGAAUGUUGCACUUUGAAUGAAUUCAGAGUAAACUGGCAGAAAUUUUAAGCGUGGACGACUGAACUGCAGCAAAUGCUCAGCACACAGUGCCUCACCUGAGCAAAUCCAUGGUGCUACGGCUUUUCAAUUCACUGAGUUUCUGUAUCAGUUUUCUCCAGCUAUCUGCUGCACCUCAGUACAUGGGAGUAUUGGACCCUCCUGAUCUGCCUGUGUGUGCUCUUCAGGAGGGCUUUUGCCUUCACUGCAGUAGAAAAGAGAAGUGAAAACAUGAUCAUAAAUCCUUAUGUGAGCAGUGGCUUUGAGUGUCUGCCUUCAGCAAUGGGACCUCUGGAACUAAGCCCUUAAUUUAAGGUCUGAAAUGAAAU